AAUUUGGAUCUCCCUUAGGUAUUUUAUGCACUUUAGGUGGUUACGUUCUUUUGUUUGUUUUUUUCCGCGUGGAAUUUCACGUUUUGUACGGAAAAGUUCACAUUUUUUGCAUUUUAGGGAAUCCCCCAUUUUAUCGACAGUCGGUGUGAAGCAUGACAUGUCUUCCGAACAUCCGAAGACCGGCAUAUUUAAAAGACAAAUGAACGUUCAAAGGAUGUACAGGAUAGAGAUAAAGAAAAGAAGGAUAAAGUCCACGCUGGAUGGGCUGCUUAUCAGAGUCUGCCCUUUUGCCAUCUGUAGAUGAUGAUGACAGCCACUGACUGCUGCACCCCUCAGAACUAGUAGAAAUUCAUCGAGUGCUGGCCGGCGACGAUAUUCUUUGAUCGACUGACCUCGGAUUCAAAUUGACAUGUUGUACAUACGUAGGAGCGAAUAACAGCCGGAGAAUUCCCAAAAACAAAACAAGUCUAGGGCAUAUUUCAAGAAGAAGUUGUUUAUUUGGCUGGUUGUGACAUUGGCGAUUCCCAGACGGACGCCAUAUGAUCGUCGUCAUCGUCCGCCAAACAGAUAAAAAUUGAGGCGCGAUCUUCUGCGAAGGAUGACCUGCCAAACCCAUCCAGCCAUUUGAAAAUAUUGAAAUUCAGUACCAAGCUGGAGAACGAGUUCCAUUAAAAAAUUUGUUUGAUUUGGGUCAGUCAGAUUCAAUUCCCUAUUACAAUUUAUCCUGUCGUAUUUCA
rnacentral:lncRNA from 1 species